rnacentral:precursor_RNA from 1 species
GAGGACCGUAUUCAUGGAAGAGGAUUGAACAGAGAUGAAGUAGACAGUAUGUUGGAUAAAUCUGGAGUAAAGAACCCAGCAAUUGGUAAAGAUGAGAAUAUAUCGCCUCAAGUAAAAGGAGAUGAAGACAUGGGAGAUGAAAUUGACAGUAUGUUGGCUACAUCUGGAGGUCUUUUCUCCUGAGAACACGGGACUCCAGCAUCUUCGGAUUCUGCUCUUGGAGGUGUGAGUCCCUGCCUCUCUGCACAGGGGAACUUAUGUCUCUCCACAUGUCCGCAAAUGUCUACCCAAGAUUAUACAUCUUCCAAAGGCUUUCAAAUACUUCUUUACAUAAACAAGAUGUGUGCAGCUGAACAGAGCGUUGAGGAAACGUCAGUGAUUUUAUAACUACUUAUCAUGUUGGGAGAUUGUUGUGAUGAUUGCCUGGACUCUCAGAUGUUACACAGGCUGCAUCAUUGGACUGAAAGUGAAUGGCCCAUGUGUUGCCACUGAUGUGAGCCAUUUGCCUGUUGUGCUUCA